rfam:Apaloderma vittatum contig19572, whole genome shotgun sequence.
GGCUGGUUAGCUCAGUCAGUUGGAGUGUGGUGCUGCUAACACCAAGGUCGCAGGUUCGGUUCCUGUUUGGUCCC